AACGAACGCUGGCGGCAUGCCUAACACAUGCAAGUCGAACGAUACAUUCGGGUUUAGUCGCGCAUUGGUGGGCAACCGGUGGGAUCAUGCCCUUAGAUUUGGCAUGACUUGCCGAAAGGGGUCCUAAUACGGGAUAAUAUCUCCGAUCCAAAGAUUUAUCGCCAUUGGAUGGGCUUGCGUUGGAUUGGCAAGUGGUUAGGCUAAAAGCCUACCAAGGUUACGUUCCAUAGCUGGUCUGAGAGGAGGAUCUGCGACACUGGGACGGAGACACGGCGCAGACUCCUGGGGGAGGGGGCAGUGGGGAAUAUUGGACAACGGGCGAGAGGAUGAACGAGUAAGGCCGGGAGAGUGAUGAAGGCCUUAAGGUUGUAAAGCACUUUUACACGGGAUGAUAAUGACGGUACCGGGAGAAUAAGCUCCGGCUAACUCCGUG
rnacentral:rRNA from 1 species